GACAUAUUUUGUGGGAAUGAAGUGGUCAGUGAAGGAGAGAGGAGUUAUCUGGUGACUGGGAAGAUGGAAAUUAAACAUUGAGAACUCAGGUAUUCUGACAAGUUUUUUGAGUGAGCAUCAUCUGGACAACUAGGUCUUCAUCAUGGGAAGAUCUAGAUUAUCAGAGAGCCUUGAUCAUUGAAGAAACAACAAAUGAUAAGUGUGGCUGUUAUGCAAAGAGAGAAGCAGGAAGGACCAGGUGUGUUCAGGGAGGCCAGCAUGGGUGUGACCUCAACAGAGGAUGCAGCAAGAAGGAUUCAUUUUGGAAGCAGAUAGCAGUCCUCACCAGAAAAUCCAAUCUGAUGGCAUCUUGAUCUUGACUUCCUA
rnacentral:lncRNA from 1 species